rnacentral:rRNA from 1 species
AUUGAACGCUGGCGGCAUGCCUUACACAUGCAAGUCGAACGGUAACGGGCCUUCGGGUGCCGACGAGUGGCGAACGGGUGAGUAAUACAUCGGAACGUGCCCGAUCGUGGGGGAUAACGAGGCGAAAGCUUUGCUAAUACCGCAUACGAUCUACGGAUGAAAGCAGGGGACCGCAAGGCCUUGCGCGGACGGAGCGGCCGAUGGCAGAUUAGGUAGUUGGUGGGAUAAAAGCUUACCAAGCCGACGAUCUGUAGCUGGUCUGAGAGGACGAUCAGCCACACUGGGACUGAGACACGGCCCAGACUCCUACGGGAGGCAGCAGUGGGGAAUUUUGGACAAUGGGCGCAAGCCUGAUCCAGCCAUGCCGCGUGCAGGAUGAAGGCCUUCGGGUUGUAAACUGCUUUUGUACGGAACGAAAAGCCUUCUUUUAAUACAGGAGGGUCAUGACGGGACCGUAAGAAUAAGCACCGGCGAACUACGU